rnacentral:tRNA from 1 species
GGUGGCUCAGUGGUAGAGUGCUUGCUUUGCAUGCAUAAGGUCCUGGGUUCGAGUUCUCAGCACCA